UACGUAGGGUGCGAGCGUUAAUCGGAAUUACUGGGCGUAAAGCGUGCGCAGGCGGCGCGUUAAGACAGGUGUGAAAGCCCCGAGCUUAACUUGGGAAUUGCGCUUGUGACUGGCGUGCUGGAGUGUGGCAGAGGGAGGUGGAAUUCCACGUGUAGCAGUGAAAUGCGUAGAGAUGUGGAGGAACACCGAUGGCGAAGGCAGCCUCCUGGGCCAGCCACUGACGCUCAGUGCACG
rnacentral:rRNA from 1 species